GUUCGCCACAAUCGGAAUAAACUUAUUAUCAACCUGUUCGAGAACUUUGGCACCCUCUAGGCAGUUUUUAUCAAUGGUAUCAGGAAGUGAUUAAUCACCGAUAAAAUGCAAGACGUCAGAAGUGACAUUGAGUAUAGAAUCCUGAUUCUUAAGAUUCGUUGUUCCAGCACCACUCUGCAUCUCAUAUUGGAAAAAGUAAAAAUUUAUCAUCUUAACAAAAUAAAUAGAGAAG
rnacentral:misc_RNA from 1 species